GUUGAUUUGAUGUUGUUAUUGAUUGCUCACGACCUGCGGUUGUAUGUUUGGUUGCUCGGAAAGUGAAGGAAAAUGAAAAUUUAUUGUUAAAUUGUGUGUGUGGUGGGGGAGCUGGAUUUCAUCUGGGUAGACUAUAGAAUCGUUACUAAUUUCAGAUGGCCAAGAAAAAGGUUGUUAGAUGCUAAUUGAAGUAUUUGUAUGCGGGUGCGCGCGCACGUGUGGGGUUCAGCUGAAGGGGGUAUGGACUGUGUUGUAUGUUCAUGGUCUAGGCAUAAGGGAUGAGUACACUAGAUGCAACCAGAGCCGAACUUGCUCUUGCAGUUCUGUAUCUGAACAA